GACCAAAGCUUUUCCGCUCGAAUCAAGGUCUUAACGAAGGCGAUGAAACACCUCCACCGAACCCAAGUGAAGGCGAGCAGACGGAGUGGCGGGCAGGAGUGGUGGGUCAGUGGCUUCUUACCUUGACCUCCGUGAACACAGUGGAGAGCCUGUGAGCUGCAAACACCACAACUUCACGGCGCCUUUGUCCCCCCUCGCCUGGCUGGUUGUCUUGCAUCUCUCCGACACUCCAAUUCGUGACUCAGCCUCCACUCGUCCGUGAAUCCCCGAUGCACCCUCACCACCACUACCUUUAUCAUCACCGCCCCUUCAAUAGAUUGGCUUCUGAGGGCAGCUCCAUUGUCCCUAACCCCUCUCUGUCCGGAUUACGUUGCGUCUAUUUUUGUUUGUAAUGAUUUAUUUCUAUGUGUUUGUUCUGUCAUUG